rnacentral:lncRNA from 1 species
CUUGCACAGCUUUGAACAGUGGAAUUUCCUAACCAGUGUUCACUGAGAUCUUAAGCUGUGUUUCAGCCAACAAAACUCUUGCUCCAGCUGCUGCUACUCCUACUCACACCAGCCUCAAUACCAUAAAAAUGUGCUCCUGAGGGUCCUGCUGGAGAGAAGCUUCACCCAGCACUGAUGUCAAUCCACAGGGAUCACAAUGCCCCACUCCCAGCAGAUCACUGUGUGAACCUGUCCUGGCUGUAGCAAGGAAUCCAUUGCAGUUUCACUUUUCCACUGAAGAUGAGUGGUAGUGAUGUGU